rnacentral:lncRNA from 1 species
UGUUGUUCUUUUCAUCGCUCAACUUCUGGGUUGAUUCCAUUUUUCUAAAAUUGAAGCUGAAUUAUGAAUAUAAUAAAAUAAAAUUUAAAAGUACAAAAAUUAUAAUUUUAAUAUGUAUAAUUUAUGUAAAAGAAUAAGUUUGUUGAAGAUUUAUAAAUUGAAAAAUGGUUCCCACAUGCACUCAUGAAUGGCAUUUAUUUACUAAGGUUUUGUUUUGAAAAGGUGAUGGUAUUAAUGAGGGUGAUGUUGUGUUGGAGGGAAGUGAGAUUGAGACCCAAAAGCAAUGAAUGGGCAGAGUUUGUCCUAUUUGAAUUUAGUAAAUGGCAUUUACAGUCUUUUAUGUUCCCAAUCCAAUCAAAGGUGCCGGCCUCAUUUUUCUUUCAAUUGCAUUCUCAUCCCCCGUUUUACACCUUUUCCAUUUCAUUCCUAAUAUUUGGAGAUUCGGCUGAUAUUUGAAAAAAGUAAUUAGAUAUGUAAUUUAUUUUUUAAAAUUAAAAUUUAUUUAUAUCCAAAUUUUAAUAUAUUAUACUCUUAAAAUUUAAAAAUAAAUAAGUAUAAUUCAUUAUUUUUUUUUGAACUGGUUAAAACUAAAUUAACAUUUAAACUAAAAUAUGCUAAAUGAUGUAAAUAUUUGAAAUAGAGUUGUCAAAAUAAGUUAUAAUUCGUUGAUCAACUCAACUCAUUACGGAUUUGGACUGGAUUGGGUUUGAAAAGAAUAUAUUUUGGACGUUGCUCCCUCUACCUCCCCAUCUACUCCCUCGACCUCCUCAUGUUUCUACAUUUUUUUAUUUACAGAAAUAAUCUUUUUGUUUUCCUUUUUUACCCUUUUUACUUUUUUUAUAGUUUUUUUACUUUUAUAAGAAUAACCUGAAUCCUAACCUUUUACUCUUCCCCCUUUUCUCACUUUUACUCUGCUGUCCCCACCCCUCCUCUCCUCCCCGACAAACGACUCUUCUUCUCCUACCUCCCACCAUCACACUACACUCUGUCUCUUCUUCUCCUACCUCUCACCAUUACACUCUGCCUCUUCUUCUCCUACCUCCCAUUGUCACACUCUUCUUUUCUCUAGGUGACUUCUUCCAUACUCUCCAAAGUGCGGUGUUGUGGUGUGGUGCGGUGGUGAUUCGCGGUAGAAGUUCGUAUUGGUGGUUCGUGGUGCAGAUCAGGGCAUUCGUCUACCAGGUGCUUCGAUUUUUAGUCUUUAAUAUGCAUGAUCUUAGAUUUGUUGAACAUGUCAUUGGUUUGCCGGUGUUUCGUUGUGUGUUGCCUAUUCUGUGUGCAUGAUUUCGCUAGUACGUUGUGUUCUGUAUCCAGGAAAAGGAUGACCGCAAUGGAUGUCGCAUAUCCGUCGACGGAUGUCGAACUUCGUUUCAAGGCCAAACGGAUGUUAGACAUCCGUUUUG